GCCAGGCAUGGUGGUGCAUGCCUGUAAUCCAAGCUACUAAGAGGCUGAGGCAGGAGAAUCGCUUGAACCUGGGAGGCGGAGGUUGUGGUGAGCCAAGAUCGUGCGAUUGCACUCCAGCCUAAGCAACGAGAAUGAAACUCUGUCUCAAAAAAAAAAAAAAUUUUUUUUUUUUCCUGAAAUGGAGUCUCACUCUGCCCAGGCUGGAGUGCAGUGACAUGAUCUUGGCUUGCUCACUGCAACCUCCACCUCCAGGGUUCAAGCUGUUCUCCUGCCUCAG
rnacentral:sRNA from 1 species